UUCAAGUGAUAAUUACCUGAGGUCAACAUUAUAAAUGCUUAAGAUGUAAUUUUACAAUGCCCCCGCAAGCGAGGGCUUGGCCGAGCUUAAUGAGGCCAGGUGCGACGCGGGGGCGACAGCCCGGCCUUAGCGAGGUCCCCUCGGGAGGCGCCUUCCGCGUCACGGAGUGCCGUGACCGGGGGUAACCCUGGCCGGGCACAGGCCCGUCUGGGUUAGCCCGCCCAAUUUUGCCGAGGGCUUAGAUGAGGGCGGGUGUUACGGGCGGGCCACAGAUAA
rnacentral:snoRNA from 14 species